AUGCUUGAAUACCAAGGAGGGCUUGAUAUCUCUCUUUCAUCCCCUGUGUCAAAUCCCCACCUUGGAAUCUCCAUCCUGAUUGGAUUAUUCUCCUCCAUACUCUGUCCUCAACCCCACUCUCCUAGUGCUAUACAAUCCCACCGCUGCCACAGCAGGAGGCUGCACAGAGGCGGCGGUGUACUUGUUCAUGGACCUGGCAAACCUUCAUAUGGAGUACAUUGGAAUGCCAAGGUGCCCAACAGCUUCCCCUACCCUUAUUUGUUACGAGGCUCCACACUCCCUGCCAAGUUCGUGACCCCCAAGCUUGGGAAGGAACUUCACUAA
rnacentral:rRNA from 1 species